UGCUUAACACAUGCAAGUCGAACGAGGGCCCGGAGCUUGCUCUGGUGACCCGAGUGGCGGACGGGUGAGUAACACGUGACCAACCUACCUUCGGGAGGGGGACAACCUGGGGAAACCCGGGCUAAUACCGCAUAUCGUCCACGGGCCGCAUGACCUGUGGAUAAAAGGGAGCCUCUGCUUGCAAGCUCUCACCCGAAGAGGGGGUCGCGGCGUAUCAGCUAGUUGGUGGGGUAAUGGCCUACCAAGGCAUCGACGCGUAGCGGGUCUGAGAGGACGACCCGUCACAUUGGGACUGAGAUACGGCCCAGACUCCUACGGGAGGCAGCAGUGGGGAAUAUUGCGCAAUGGCCGAAAGGUUGACGCAGCGACGCCGCGUGUGGGAGGACGCCCUUCGGGGUGUAAACCACUGUCAGGGGGGAAGAACUUCGCAGGUGUGAAUAGCGCUUGCAGGUUGACGGUACCCCCAGAGGAAGCAGCCGG
rnacentral:rRNA from 2 species